AUAACAAGUUUACAGGGACAAAUUCCUCUUAGGAAAAGACGCAAGUUUACCUGCAAAACUGGCC
rnacentral:ncRNA from 1 species